GGGCACGGCUGCGGCCGAUAGGAGACUCCUUAAUCCGACAUCCUGUUCUGCCGCAUAGCUGCUCGCUGACAGCGGAGCCCUGAGCCCAGCCUUGCACUCGAGAUGGCAUGGAGGAUGUGCCAGGAGUCAAAUGAUGCAGAGAAAACUUCCCAGUGCCCUGGGAGGACUUUGGCAGCCUCACAGCCCUGCUGAGCCUCACCCUGUUCCUAAACACGAGGGCACAAGUGACUCAGGGCUGGCCCUGAAGGAAAAGCAUCCACAGGCGUCACUGAUAAGAUUCCUGUCAAGAAAGGAGCUGGAGAAGGGAGCUGAAGUGUUCCCAUUGCUUGCUUACCAUUAACACCAGAAGUGAGAAGGCAGCUCUCAAGCUUUAAUAGUUCCCCAACAUUUUCCUUAAGAUUUAAUUAAAAAUAAUAAACAAGGGCACUGAGGCCCUGGACAGCCUGAUUUUGUUAACUCCUCUGUUGUACUCCUGUUUCAGGGGGGAGUUGGUGCUCAGACAGCUGAAACAGCAGGAGUGAUUUCACCCAAUUUGAAGGAUUUUAUUUGGAACAAACCCGACGGCAGUUUUAGAGCUGGAUGCAAAGUUUGAUUUAAAAUGCAGGCAGACAUUUAAUUGCAUGGCAGCUGCAAUUUUCCAAACAGCAAGCUGACAACUUUUAGUUCCUCUUCUGGAGAGUUUCCUUGGCUGGGAGGCUGCCAGGGCUGGCCCAUGGGUGGGUUCUGCAGUGAAAUCAGGCACACACAGAUGAUUCAGCACUCGUGUGUCAGUCUGAUUGCUCAGAACCUCCCCCAGCAGCACAGAACUUCUGCUCUCCUCAUCCUGCCCAGAGGACAAACACAGCACUGUGGGGUCAGAGAGGUUCCAGCCUCCCUGGGGGUUGGCUGCCCCAGAACAGAUCCCAGUUGCAGAGCUGGGAUAUUCCCCAGGAGAGCAGGAUGGGCACAGGACAUUGUCCCCAAGCUGUCACAAUGGCACCCCUGUGACUGUGCUGGUUUGAGGGGCACCAUGGAACAGGAUGUUCCUUGUCUCAGUGCCCUCCCCAGAAACUGCUCUUUUGAUAGGAGCUUACUCAGAACUUCAGAGUUAGGUUUGUCCUUCAGAAAUUCCAGUUAUUACUGAUUUUCUCCCCAGAUUGCUCUUUCAGUCUAGUGCAUCCAUGGAGUGGAUCUGGUAAUACUGGACACAAAUAUUUGUGAAGUUGGCUUAAUUAUUUGUAUAUUUCAGUGCAUAAAGGAUUCUGGAGGAUGUAAAACUCUCUUUACAGCUGAGUCCUGAUAUCUCAGGUACCCCAUUUCAUAGAAUCCCAGAGUGGUUUGGUGUGGAAAGGACCUUGAAGCUCAUCUCAUCCCCUUCUGAUAUUCAGAGUUCAUCCCACCACUAGAAGGAUGCCGUUUCUGGGAUAAUUCCCUGGCUGUGUCAUUAAGGGCAAGAAAAUCCCAGUUAAAACAUACUAAAAAACACUCUAAUAAGAAUUUUUAAAAAGAAAAAAAAGUUGUACUUUAUCCAGACUUUAUGUUUUAAAUAAUGCAGAUACUUUUUGUCUGGGAAAGUUUAGGAGAGUGAGGAGGAAUUCUUGCAGUCAAGGACUUGUUCUUGGUCAGCCUGUAACAAUAUCAACUUUUACAACCACGAAUUACAGGUAUAUCUUUUUUAACCAAAGAGAUUUUAUUUUUCUAGGCAACAAAAGAGAACAUCCAAGCAGUGAUAGUGACACGUCUCCCUCCAAGGGAACUGAUUCUCUGGUAGCAGAUUCCCAAUGCAAACAUGAUCUAGCAAAGCUCAACACUCUGGAUUAAAUAAAGCUCAUUUUUCAAAUACUGCAACUGAGAAAUACCAGGGGGAAAAAGAAAAAAAAAAAAAAAAGUUUCACACACUUUGAGAAAUCCAUCCAGGACACAAAGCUAAAAUCUAAGGGUUGCUCCCCAAAGUCAAGGCAGACAAUAAAUAUGGAUCUUCCACGUGUGUUUCAGACACCUGGUGCACCUCUCUGAGGUAGGUAUUGUGUCCAUGUGACAGAUGGCAAAGGGGGAGGCUCAGCUCCUUGUCCCAGGCAUGGCCCUGCUGCCCUGGGAGAGCUGAGAGCACACCUGGGGCUCACCAGGCUCUUGCUCUCCUUCCUAGCCACUAUUUCAGCUCAAGGAGUUAGAACACAGUGUCAUCUUCAAGUUCCUUUGAACUGUCAGCUACUUCUGGAGGGGUUUAAGCAUCAGCUUCUGCAGGGCUGGGUUAAUGUUGGGUUUUGGGGGGUUUUAUCUCCUUUUCCUAAUGACAGGCUCAAAGCAGAGCAGGGUUUAACACUGGAGGCUAAGUGGGUUUCUGUAGGGAACUCCCAACAGUGCUAAUGUGUGUUUUAUACUGAAUUAAAAACAAACCCAGGUCCACAGUGCUCUGGGUGAUCCUGGGCUGUUUCAUUAUUCAUGCCUUAAUUCAGCAAAGCACUUAAGUAAUUAUGUUCUUUCUUCAGUACAACCCUCCUGUAUUUCAGGAUCCAACUGGGAGCCUCUGCUGAGAAUCCUAGAAAUGGGAUUUUUGCAGAAAAGGUGGUAUGGCUGCACCAGUUUGGGCAGGUGCCUGAGGGAACAGAGCCCUUUCAAACUGGGUUUUAGGUUAAACCCACGUGCAAAGUGGGUUUAUUUCUGCCUCAGUCUGAGCAUGCUCCUUCUUGUUCCCCAGCCUAAAAGUACAAGGAAGGUCACUCAAAACAGUAACAGAAGAAUGGCAGGCAAAGGCUAUUUUAAAAUUCAAGAAACAAGGAUGUGUUGCAGGCAUUUCAAAGAAAAAUAAAAUAAAACCAAAAUCCCCUUCAGUAAUAUGCACCUUUACAGCACCUUUUAAAAGCCCUCAAAAGCACUUCCUGUCAAGCUUCACUGUGAGGUAAAAUAAUUCCAAUUAACCCAAUUUUACCUUCCCUGAUUCUGAACAGUCCAAGGAGUGGGGCACUUCCCCCAGCUUAUUUUCAUCUGAAUAUUCAGCUGUGAUAUCUCAUUAUCACAAUGAAAGUCUUGCUACUCCACAGGCAGUGGUGACAAAUCAAACACAUUAAGGCAGAAAGCAGAUGGAAUUUCAAGCCUCCCUUCUGGCUCUGGCCUUCAGAGGGCAAAACUUUUGACCAGCAAAGAGUGAGAACUCAACCUUAAAGUGCUCAUUCACAGUAUUUGGAAACUGGAACAGCUUAGUAACACCAUGGCCUUAAUUGGCUCAAGUAAAAUAUUCAAUGCAUUUAACAGAUGCAAAUUAAGUCACUUCCCUAACUACUCACUUCCCUCUUGCAGGAAUUUCCAAUGCUAUUAUGAAGAAGAAUCCCAAGUAUUCCAGGAAACAUGCUUAUGCUCUGAUGCAGUGUAAACACCAGGGGGUUGAGAGUUAUUUUUCAAGCAACUAAAAACUACCUACGGAGGAUUAAUAAGUUGUAUUCAACACUUAUCCAUCUACUCAUUAAUUUAAAGGCUACCUUAAAGCUUAGAGGCCAUUGCUUUCCCUAAAGUUCUCUGCACACAAACUACACAGUCUAUUCCUGAUGGUGUAGGGCAGCUCAGAGAUCCUUUUUCUACUACAAAUGGUAUUUUGAUAUUUUACUUGGUAUUUCUAUUAUAAGUCAUGCACCACACGAGCAGUUUCCCCUCUGAGAGCUGCACAUAUGAGCAGAGCCCAAUUCUCAGUGUGAGUGAUGCUGAUAUGUGUGUUUCCCAAAGCCUCAUAUUAACUGAAUUCCCCUGAAAAUGUACAUUCAGCACCUCAGAGAUGGAUUUUACAGCAGUGCUGGACAAGCCUGGCUGUGUCUGUCUGCUCAGGUCACACAUUCAGCACCUCAGAGGUGGAUUUUACAGCAGUGCUGGACAAGCCUGGCUGUGUCUGUCUGCUCAGGUCUCACAUUCAGCACCUCAGAGAUGGAUUUUACAGCAGUGCUGGACAAGCCUGGCUGUGUCUGUCUGCUCAGAUCUCACUCACACACACACACACAGAAGGUGAUGAAAUCAAGGUGUGGCUGCCACUGUCCACCACCAGCCCAAGUG